AGCAGCCGCGGUAAUUCCAGCUCCAAUAGCGUAUAUUAAAGUUGUUGCAGUUAAAAAGCUCGUAGUUGAAUUUCGGAAUCAAUAUGUUGGUCGUGCCUCGGUACGUACUAGCUUAUUGGUUUCUCCUUUCUGAAGAACCAUGAUGUCAUUUAUUUGGUGUCGUGGGGAAUCAGGACUGUUACUUUGAAAAAUUAGAGUGUUUAAAGCAGGCUCACGCUUGAAUACAUUAGCAUGGAAUAAUGAAGUAGGACGUUUGAUUCUAUUUUGUUGGUUUCUAGGAUCGACGUAAUGAUUAAUAGGGAUAGUUGGGGGCAUUAGUAUUCAAUUGUCAGAGGUGAAAUUCUUGGAUUUAUUGAAGACUAACUACUGCGAAAGCAUUUGCCAAGGAUGUUUUCAUUAAUCAAGAACGAAAGUUAGGGGAUCGAAGACGAUCAGAUACCGUCGUAGUCUUAACCAUAAACUAUGCCGACUAGGGAUCGGAUGAUGUAAUUUUUA
rnacentral:rRNA from 1 species